rnacentral:sRNA from 1 species
CACCAUACGUACACAAAUCCAAGAAACAAAAAAGGAAAAGCAUCAUAUAUUAUACGUAUGUACACCGAACCCAUAUGUGGUAGUACUCGUAAUUGUAGGAAAAACGGCUGGUCACUAUGGCGUCCUCCCCCCUCGUUCGUCGUAUCUAGGCAGCAAAUGCGCCGCACUUGCAACCACGCCCUCUGCUCUCUGGUUUCUUUUUCUCGCUUCUUGCACUUGCUUCUCCAGUUCUCUACAAUACCUGUUAGCUUCGUGCUUGACGAAAGGUAUAUGGAAGGUACACACCUGACCUGUGCUUCCAGCUGCACAGCUCUUUCCUUUCCACCUUGCUUUUCCGUCUUAAUCUUCUCCCCUGCGAUCCGCAACCUAUUCUCGUACUCUUUGACACGCGCUUCCCAUUUGUUCUCAGCCUGACUGUACCUCGUCUGGUACUCUGCCAGUCUUUUUUCCAAACUCGCCAACUGGUUCGAUGCCGUUUGAGCUCGCUUUUCGGCCGCGACGGCCCGUUCCGUAAGGGAUCGAAUUUGGGAGGAUGAUCCAGAGAUAGUAUCAGAUUUGAGAGACGAGAUCUGAGAAUGAAGUUCGUUAUUACGAACUUGAACAGCCUGAAGCUCCCCUUCUUUGAUGGCAAACUUGCUUCUCCAUUCUCGCUUGGUUAAUUCAAGCUUCUUCACGGCUGCUUCAAAUUGGUCCAAUGAUACAGAAACAAAAGAACCCACGCCAUGCGCUUAUCCACGGAUGCCUCAGUAUCCUUUAGCUUCUUCUCAAACUCUGCUCUGACGCUCAUCAUCGCUUUUAACCUCUGCAGAAGAGUAUCCCUAAACAGAGCAAAGUUUGCUGGUGUCGUGUGGUGCUAAUCACUGAAUUUAUUAACAUCUUUGAACACCCGAAGAAGCAGUUCACUUCUCUCCUGUCUCUGAGUUUCGGAUUGUUUUUGCAUCUGGAAUCGCUCUUGCUGUGUCUCGGUGAGAAGCGGUUCAAGCUCUUCGAUGCGUUCCUUUAAUAGAUUGGCUUCACGUUCAUGUUGCUUGGCCGUCUAUAUAUACAUUUAAUUAGCCUUCCCCCAUCUAUGUCACGGCAAACGCACUUUCAGGGUAUGAUCAAGCUUGUCAGAAAUGUUGAGUCGUCCUUGCCUUUCGGACGACAAUCUAUUCUCAAUGUCACGUUGUUUGUCAAGCUAUCAACUGGUCAGCUCGGUCGUUGAUGUCAAAUUGUCGACAUACCAUGGUAGCAAGCUCGAUAUCUCGAUCUCUGAGAUUUUCAUUUCUCUUCUCCAAUUCUCGUUUGGCGAUAUCCAAUUCAUCCUCACACCUCUGCAAGUCUCUCUUGACCCUGUCGAUUUCAAGCUCCAAUCCAAACCUAUUGCUCGUGUGCUCGUCGCCAAGCUUACGGCGCUCGUCCUCAAGGUCGUGCAGCUUUCGCUCAACUUGAGAGAGGUCGCGGUCACGAAGAUUUAUUCUUUCAUGAGCAGCAUCAAGCUCAAAUUGAAGACGUGAGGCUUGGGUUUCCUUUUCAGAGAGGGCUUGACGAAGACGUGAAUUUUCUGUAUUCAGUUCACGCUUAAUACUCUCCCUAUCAGAUCUCCGCUCUUCUCUCUCUUGACCAAGACGAGUAAGUGCGUCUUCUUUCUCUUCUUGUAUUUUUCGUCGAGCCUCUUUGAGAACAUUGAUCAAAUCCUCGUAAUGCGCCUUGGCGUUUUCAAACUCCUCAUCUGCGCUACGUAAAUCAGCGUUAAGAUUGGCUUCCCUAGCUCGAUGAUCCUCUAGCGCUUCCUCCAGCUCAUACACUCUCUGCCCCAGCUCUUCAAUCUCACGAUUUGCAUCCAUCAACUCAGCGUGCUUUUCGAUAUUAUCACGUUCAAUAUUUUUGAGCGUUUCUUCCAGCCGGUCGUGAGUGAUGGCCUUGGCAGCUUGGAGUUCUUGUAUUUCUUCAAGUGCGCCUGUGAGGUGUUCUUCUCUCUCAAGGAGGGAAACUCUAAUCUCCUUUAUUUCUUGCUCCCGAGCGUCCAACGCCUGCUCUUGUUAACAUGGCUUAAACUGUUCUUUUCUUCUGUAACUUACAUCUUUCAGCUCGUCAACUUGUGUUCUUGCCUCCAGUACUUCAUCUCUCCAUUCUUCCGCAACCUGUUGCAAUUCUUUUUCGUGCUCUCGGACUUUUGCGUCCAGUUCCGCAUUGAGUUCGUCAACUUCACGAUCACGAUUGUCGAGCUCGAGUUGUGCAGCGGCCACUUUAUCUUGGAGUUCAUUGAGACGCUAUAAGAGGUUAUUCACAGCCUUUUGAAUGUUAA